AACUUAUCCUUGGGUUUUCACUGAUUAGUGCUUUCAAGCCUGCCUGCCUGCCUUAGUUCAUGUAGCUCCUCCUCUGGUACUGGGGUAAACACCUGUAUUACCAUUUUAAAGGCUAUCAUUACUCUUUAUCUGUGAAGAGCAGAACAUGAAGAAACUUACUUUAUUUUGAUAGUCUCUAGAUUCCUAAAGAUUAGAGAUCAUUUCUCAUUCUUCUAGGAGUACUUACUUCAGGAAGAAUCCAGAUAAAAGAUACAAUUCUGUGAAACUUUCCGGCAAGCCACUCUGAUAUAGUCCCAGAAGCUGCGAGGACUUUCAUAACCAAACCAGAAUUACACCUUACAUCAUGGAGCAAGGUUAUAAUGGCCGCUUUGAUGUCUUCGCCUGAUCAUUCCAACAUCUGAGUCAUCUCACAAUGAGGAUCUUGGUUCCUUUGAGAAUUGGUCACAUUUUCCUGGUUCUUUGUAAG